GUGUUUGCUAAUUGCAGCUGGCUAGUCUGAAGGAGCCGAGUGGUGGAGUCGCCGGGAGGACUCUUGGAAGCUGCAGCCCGGAGGACGAGCUUUGUCUUGAAGAUGGCGUUGGGUCCAGGAGUUUAACACAGCCGAAUGUCUCCCAUGUGACGGGAGACAUUCAGCUGUGACUGAUGUUAAACUCCAAGGGCCUGUUCUUACAGGAUUCCAAAUAGGGAACACUCAAUUGUGUAAAAAAUUUGUUUCAUACCAACCAGUAAAUAAACUUUGAGGGGGGCGGGUUUUUGUCUAUUAAAUUGCAUGGCACAGUAAUAAAGUUCAAUCAUGGUGUGUUUUUUCUCUUUGGUUUUAUUGCAUAAAUAUCCUCAGCAGUCCAGCUGAACCAACCCGUCCCCUGCACACACCUACUGAGAGAACCCUUCUCUUGUCCAAUCACCGCUGACAGCCACCAGGUCUCUGUGACUUUGCAAGGAUAAACGGGUAUAGAUGACAGGUGGACGGAUGAUUAAUCAAUAUAUCUCCAACCAUUUAUUUCAUUCUCAUACUGCGAGUUCGGUGAUGGUUCCCAGAGCUGCUAGGAGGUCUUAGUGAAAGGGUUCCUCCGCUGAGGAACCAGGACCCAGAUUCUGUCCUUUAGAGAGACGCUGUGCCUGCUGACUUGGGAUAAAAUCCUGUCCCUUAAAGCUUACAGUCAGAGUGGCUCAUCUCUGUGGUGAAUAGAAUGGGUAAAAAGAUUCAAUUUAUAUAUAGCACUUUUCCAGUACUACUGAUCAUCCAAAGCAUCCUGCAAAAAAGGCUUCAGGAUUUCUGCUAUGUUGUCAUGCAACAGCCUGCAUAUGAACUUUUUGCUAUUAUUUCUAACUUUCAUCGAACUUUAAUUUUAAGCCUAAACCCUUAAGGCUACCCAUAUCCUAACCCUAUUCUUUACAUAGCUAACCUUAACCCUAACCAAAACUCAAUUCACACGUUAGUCCUAAAUCUAACCCCUGACCUUUGGUCCCCACAAGGAGCAGUGGGUCCCCACCACGUAGUAUGUCAGGAAAAUGGUCCCCACAAGGUAUUACAAACAAACACACACACACACUUUGUGUAAUAUUUGAUAAAAUCUCUGGUGUAAUUCUCCAAGCAAAUUGAUACUUUGGUUGAGAUUAGAU